rnacentral:rRNA from 1 species
CGAUAAGUAUGUGAAUUGCAGAAUUCAGUGAAUCAUCGAAUCUUUGAACGCACCUUGCGCUCCUUGGUAUUCCGAGGAGCAUGCCUGUUUGAGUGUCAUGG